rnacentral:rRNA from 1 species
AUGCGCCUUAUGCAUUAUGUGUUUCGCCUUUACAUUGGUGAGUUUGCUGUGGUCUACUUUGACGAUAUCCUUGUGUUUAGAAAAUCUCUCAAAGAGCAUGUCACCCACCUUCGCACCGUGCUUCAAACUCUUCGAAAAGAGCGUCUUUAUGCUAAUAUGGAAAAAUGCCUUUUUGGUGUUGACAAGCUUGUUUUCUUGGGUUUUGUAGUAUCUUCUAAGGGUGUUCAUGUUGAUGAAUCUAAAAUCAAUGCUAUUAAAACUUGGCCCCAACCAACCAAUUUGCAACAAGUGCGUAGUUUUCUUGGUUUAGCUGGUUUUUACCGUCGCUUUGUGAAGGAUUUUAGCACCAUUGCAUCUCCUUUACAUGCUUUGAGCAACAAGAAUGCACCCUUUGUUUGGGGACCAUCUCAAGAUAGCGCAUUCAAUGAGCUUAAGAAUUUGCUUACGCAUGCUCCCGUGCUUGCUUUACCCAACUUUGACAAACCUUUUGAAAUUCAUUGUGAUGCUAGUGGUAAUGGCAUAGGAGGUGUGUUAACGCAAGAGAAGCGCCCCAUAGCAUACUUUAGUGAGAAACUCUCUGGAGCGCAACUCAAUUACCCCAUCUAUGACAAAGAGCUAUAUGCUUUAGUGCGAGUUUUGCAUGAAUGGGAACAUUACCUUCGCCCUCAUGAAUUUAUCAUCCAUACCGAUCAUGAAACGCUUAAGUACCUUAAGGGUCAAACUAAGUUGAACAAGCGUCAUGCUAAAUGGAGUGAGUUUAUAGAGUCUUUUCCUUAUGUUAUCAAAUACAUAAAAGGCAAAGAAAAUGUUGUGUGGAUGCACUUUCCCGUAUAUGCAUGCUUGUUACUCAACUUGAAUUGA